GUUGAGGUGCUACCCACUGAGGUGUUUCUCCUGUGACAGAGUUCAGACAGACUGGCUGAUCUAGAGUGACAUGUGCUGUAUCCUGCUGGGGAAACACAGUGGAGCUAGAUGAGAUUGGACAAGGAGAAGAGACAGGACUUUUAAGUGGUGCAGCUGGACUGAAGAGUUCCUACAGUGAACAACCUGAGCUAAUCUGGUACAAGCUCUAUUCUCAGAUGCUCUCAGAAACAAUGGGGAAAAUCCAUAAUGCUGGAUCAGGGCUGCUGCAGCUCUCCAUGGUUUCCUCAGGUCCAACCAGUAGUGAUGCUGAAGAUACGUUCCAGUUAAUCACACCACAUCUAUACACAGACAGUCUCACAGGUCAGACAGAGAUACAGAUGGCACCAUUGGCCUCAUUUAUAGGCUGUUCUGACAAACUGGAUGCC